rnacentral:rRNA from 1 species
ACGUAGGGGGCGAGCGUUAUCCGGAUUCAUUGGGCGUAAAGCGCUCGUAGGCUGCCCGCUAGGUCCGGGGUCAAAUCCGGGGGCUCAACCCCCGCACGCCCCGGAUACCGGCGGGCUUGAGUCGGGUAGGGGAAGGCGGAAUUCCAGGUGUAGCGGUGGAAUGCGCAGAUAUCUGGAAGAACACCGGUGGCGAAGGCGGCCUUCUGGGCCUCGACUGACGCUGAGGAGCGAAAGCUGGGGGAGCGAACAG